GGCGGACGGGUGAGUAACGCGUAGGAACCUACCUGGUAGCGGGGGGACAACCUGGUGAAAACCAGGCUAAUACCGCAUACGCCCUACGGGGGAAAGCAGGGGAUCUUCGGACCUUGCACUAUCAGAUGGGCCUGCGUCGGAUUAGCUAGUUGGUGAGGUAAUGGCUCACCAAGGCGACGAUCCGUAGCUGGUUUGAGAGAAUGAUCAGCCACACUGGGACUGAGACACGGCCCAG
rnacentral:rRNA from 1 species